CAUUGUAGCUUGCUACAGAUGACGACCGGCGCACGGGUGCGUAACGCGUAUAGAACCUACCUUUUACAUAGGGAUAGCCUUUAGAAAUGAAGAUUAAUACCUUAUAGUAUUGAGACUUGGCAUCAAGUUUUAAUUAAAGAUUUAUCGGUAAAAGAUGGCUAUGCGUCCUAUUAGUUAGUUGGUAAGGUAACGGCUUACCAAGACAUCGAUAGGUAGGGGUCCUGAGAGGGAGAUCCCCCACACUGGUACUGAGACACGGACCAGACUCCUACGGGAGGCAGCAGUGAGGAAUAUUGGACAAUGGAGGCAACUCUGAUCCAGCCAUGCCGCGUGUAGGAAGAAUGCCCUAUGGGUUGUAAACUACUUUUAUACAGGAAGAAACACUGGUAUGUAUACCAGCUUGACGGUACUGUAAGAAUAAGGACCGGCUAACUCCGUGCCAGCAGCCGCGGUAAUACGGAGGGUCCGAGCGUUAUCCGGAAUCAUUGGGUUUAAAGGGUCCGCAGGCGGUCGAUUAAGUCAGAGGUGAAAUCCCAUAGCUCAACUAUGGAACUGCCUUUGAUACUGGUUGACUUGAGUCAUAUG
rnacentral:rRNA from 1 species